rnacentral:lncRNA from 1 species
AUCGCGCAGGGCGGCGUGCUGCCCAACAUCCAGGCCGUGCUGCUGCCCAAGAAGACCGACAGCCACAAGGCUAAAGCCAAGUAAAUCUCAUCUGACAAAACAACCCAAAGGCUCUUUUCAGAGCCACCCACAUCUUCCUAGAAAGAGCAGGAACGCUUGAACCCGGGAAUACGUGAUAUGUCAAUGUAUUUAGAAACUUGAAAUCUCCCGGUUGGGAAGGGGGGCUUCUAAAAUGUUAUGUAUCUUUACAUUCUACCUUGGCGGUCUGUAGCUUCCUGCCUUUUUUAUCUUGGAAGUUACGGUACUUAUGUAAGCGUGCGUCAGUUCCUCUUUAAAAAAAAAAAAAAAAUCAAUAAAAGGUAGCGGUUGUGACUGAUGAAAUCGGUCACCGCUGUGUGGAUUAAGAAGAGAUGUGAACUCUGCGAGGGUGCGCUCGCUGCCUCCCGGCGCUUGCUGGGGGUGAAGCGCCUCUCACCCCGGGGGAGGGAGGAAGGACGGGGCGGGUUCGGGGCCUCCCCCGGCCAAUCCGGCUGGAGCGCGCGGCCUUCAAACCUCGGGGGCACCGGGACAUCUCCCUGCGGGCCCGGCUGCCCUGGGAUCCGGCUAGAAGAGGGAUUCCAGUGCCUUGCGAGCAGCGCUUGCUGCGGUUUUCUGCUUUCUGAGGUUCUCUUUUUUUUUUUUUUCCUCUUUUGCAACUUCGAGCUUCCUGGCAAUAAUAAGAAAAGCCGUUCUGCCUCAGGAGGCGGAGGAGUGAGUCACUGGGGCGUUCUGUUCAUGGAAAAUGUUUUUCAAGCAGAGGAAGAUAACGUGGGAGUGCCCGGCUGAAGUCUUGCUUGGAAACAAGAUGAGAAUCUCGCCUGUUUCUAAGCG